rnacentral:rRNA from 1 species
AUUGAACGCUGGCGGCAGGCCUAACACAUGCCAGUCGAACGGUAACAGGAAGAAGCUUGCGUCUUUGCUGACGAGUGGCGGACGGGUGAGUAAUGUCUGGGAAACUGCCUGAUGGAGGGGGAUAACUACUGGAAACGGUAGCUAAUACCGCAUAACGUCGCAAGACCAGAGAGGGUGAGCUUCGUGCCGCGUUCCAUCGGAUGUGCCCAGAUGGGAUGAGUUGGUAGGGGGGGUAAGGGCUCCCCUAGGGGACGGUCCCUAGCUGGUCUGAGGGGAUGACAACCCACCCGGGAAGUGGACCACGGUCAAGGGUCCUACGGGAGGCAGCAGUGGGGAAUAUUGGACAACGGGCGGAAGCAUGAUGCAGCCGUGCCGCGUGUAUGAAGAAGGCCUUCGGGUUGUAAAGUACUUUCUGCGGGGAGGAAGGGAGUAAAGUUAAUACCUUUGCUCAGUGACGUUAACCGCAGAAGAAGCACCGGCUAACUCCGUG